CAUACCAUUUGCAAAAGUAGACAACCCAAGGUAUUGCAAAUGGGGUAUGUCCAGUCUUUUUUUAGUAGCCACUUAGUCACAAACACUGGCCAAAAUUGGCGUUCAAAUUAGUUUUUUUGCGUUUUUCACACACAAAUAUUAAUGCUAACUUUGACCAGUGCUUGUGACUAAGUGGCUAUUAAAAAAGACUGGACAUACGCCAUUUGCAAUACCUUGGGUUGUAUACUGUUCCAAAUGAUAUG